rnacentral:rRNA from 1 species
UACGGAGGGUGCAAACGUUGCUCGGAAUCAUUGGGCGUAAAGCGCACGUAGGCGGUCGGCUAUGUCGGAUGUGAAAGCCUCGGGCUUAACCCGAGAAGGGCAUCCGAAACUGGCCGGCUUGAGUACGGAAGAGGGUCUCGGAAUUCCCGGUGUAGAGGUGAAAUUCGUAGAUAUCGGGAGGAACACCAGUGGCGAAGGCGGAGACCUGGGCCGAUACUGACGCUGAGGUGCGAAAGCGUGGAGAGCAAACAGG